CAGUGAUUACUUUAACGGCCGCGGUACCCUGACCGUGCAAAGGUAGCAUAAUCAUUUGCCUUUUAAUUGAAGGCUAGUAUGAAUGGUUUAACGAGAGUAAAACUGUCUCACAUGUAUUUUACAGAAAUUAAUUUGAAGGUGCAAAAGCCUUCAUUAACUAAAAAGACGAGAAGACCCUGUUGAGCUUUAAUUUUAACUAGAUAUGCUUUUAUAUUUAUAUAAUUUAUUAAUCUAGUAAAAAUUUUAAUUGGGGCGAUUAAGGAACAACAAAAAGCUUCCUGAUGAUAAAUUAGAUCGAUCCAGCCAUGCUGAUCAACAAAAUGAGUUACCACAGGGAUAACAGCAUAAUUCUUUUUAAGAGCUCGUAUCGAAAAAAGAGAUUGUGACCUCGAUGUUGGACUAGGGUGACAAAAAGGUGUAGCCGCUUUUUUGCUUGGUCUGUUCGACCAAUAAUUCCCU
rnacentral:rRNA from 1 species